AUUUACCUUAAGCUUUCCUCUGUUUCUCUUAUAGUUUUCUCUGUUUUUGUAACACUUUGUCUCUUAUUUUGCCAAAUCUGCGGUCUCCCGCCCCAUUCCGGCAGGGGAGACAUUCCUCUCCCCUAUCCAGUAGUAGGUUCGGCUAUCCCCCUUCGACUGCGAUGUUUGUGUAUAAAUAAGUUUGGGUGAUUUUUGGCGGUAGAUGAUGCUGAUUUGAGACAGCCUUUUUUUUAUCUA
rnacentral:misc_RNA from 1 species